UCCAUCCAAGCAAAGACUUGGGAACUUUUAAUCACAAACCCUUCAAAAAUAAACCCCCUCCCGAGCAGGCCUUUGGCUUUGCCGGAGAAAUUUUUUUCAGUGCCAAAGAGAGGGCGAUGAUGAGCCGAAGCGGAGGAAGAGAGCUUGGUGAGAGAGGUAUGAGAGGAAUGAAGAAUGAGAUCAAGUGUGCCAUUGAUGCUAGCUAGGCUGAUCAGGGCGGCGAAGCUUCUUAGCUUGGGAAAGCAGCGGAUGGAUCCAAUUCGGGAGGAGAAUGCUUCUGCCGAUGUGCUUUCUCGUCCGUAUUGGGGAAUUCUUGGUUGAUCUCAUGGUGGACCCUAGCAGUCUUAUUCCAGCAGAUGCACUGAGUGCAAAAAGAUGUACCCUUAAGUUCAGGUUCUUACAAGGGAGUGUAUUGUGCAAAUUGGAAUGGCACGGUCUGUGAUUUUGGUCUCUCAAGGUUAAAGCACAGCUCAUUUUUAUCAACAAAAGUCAACC